GACGAACCGUGCGAACGUUGUUCGGAAUCACUGGGCUUAAAGGGCGCGUAGGCGGGUCACCAAGUCCGGGGUGAAAUCUUUCGGCUUAACCGGAAAACAGCCUUGGAUACUGGUGGUCUCGAGCGAGGUAGGGGCAGCUGGAACUUCCGGUGGAGCGGUGAAAUGCGUUGAUAUCGGAAGGAACGCCGGUGGCGAAAGCGAGCUGCUGGACCUCUUCUGACGCUGAGGCGCGAAAGCCAGGGGAGCAAACGGG
rnacentral:rRNA from 1 species